CGGGUGAGUAACGCGUGGGUAACCUGCCUUAUACAGGGGGAUAACAGUCAGAAAUGGCUGCUAAUACCGCAUAAGCGCACAGAGCUGCAUGGCUCAGUGUGAAAAACUCCGGUGGUAUAAGAUGGACCCGCGUUGGAUUAGCUAGUUGGUGGGGUAACGGCCCACCAAGGCGACGAUCCAUAGCCGGCCUGAGAGGUUGAACGGCCACAUUGGGACUGAGACACGGCCCAGACUCCUACGGGAGGCAGCAUG
rnacentral:rRNA from 1 species